AGAACACUUCGCUCUGAUGUGAAGUUGGCUAUCACUUACAAACUUCAUAUGGUAAUACACACAUGCAUUGCGAAAAUGGUUUACCAAAUUCCCCCACCUAGAUAUUUACCUAAUAGGUAAAACUUCUAGACCUAAACCUCCAGUGUCACAACUAAAAGACUCAAGUCAGCAACACCAAUGAAUUAUUUUGCAACUUUAAAGCUAGGAAACUAGGCUGCAGAUAAAGUGAAUCAGAAAUGACCAACGUGGGUGCCAGCAGCCGCGGUUAAACCCCGACUUCAAGUCAACUUUUCCUCUAAUAGUACGUUACAUACAUACAAAUCUGAUUUUAAACAAAUUAAUCUAAGUAGAAUUUUUUUCCUUUGCACACCCCAAUAAAUCAUUGGAGUAAUGUGCUAACAAACCACAAAAAUAAAACAUGGAUUAGAGACCCAUCUAUUAAGUGGCCCAACUCAAUAAAGACUAAAAACGAAAGUUUAAAACUUAAAGAGCGUGGCGGUAUUCUACACCACAUUAGGGGAUCCUGUGGCUUAAUUUGAUAAUCCACGAACACCAAAGCUUUGUUUGUUAAAAAAAUCCAGCUUACGUAUGGCCGCAUUAAGUCUGCACAUAAACGGGACAAAAGGAGACACCCUCAAGACUACACCAGUCUUCAUAAUACAGGUGACACAUAGCCAAUACAAAGCAGCUCAUGGGAUACAAAUAAACAACAUUAACCUAAGAAACUACUAAACCUUUUCUCAAGGGAGGACUUAAGAGUAAGACUGUAACAUAAUCUCAGCCUGAAUAAGAAAUAGAAUGCGUACAAAUCGCCCGUCACUCCCGGCGACUCCAGUUGGGAUAAGUCGUAACACAGUAGGGGCAGCGGAAGCUGCCCCUAUUCCA
rnacentral:rRNA from 1 species